GGAAGAUCGGAUGAAACUAUUGGAGGAAAAGACAGAGAAAUUAAAAUUGAAACUAACAGAGAAUGAAGAUAGUGUGAGGAGGAUAAACCUCAGAAUAGGAGGUGUGCCAGAGAAUGUAUCAAUACAUGAAUUGGGAAAAUAUCUUGAAGGGUUUUUUAUAUUUUUAUAGGCCUUAAUCCAGAUCAAAGUCAAAAUUUUAUUGAAAGAG